rnacentral:rRNA from 1 species
ACGGGAUAAGUGCUGAAAGCAUCUAAGCAUGAAGCCCCCCUCAAGAUGAGAUUUCCCAACUUCGGUUAUAAGAUCCCUCAAAGAUGAUGAGGUUAAUAGGUUCGAGGUGGAAGCAUGGUGACAUGUGGAGCUGACGAAUACUAAUCGAUCGAAGACUUAAUCAA